rnacentral:rRNA from 1 species
GACGAACGCUGGCGGCGUGCCUAACACAUGCAAGUCGAGCGGAGACAGUUGGAAGCUUGCUUUUGACUGUUUUAGCGGCGGACGGGUGAGUAACGCGUGAGCAACCUUUCCCAGACAGGGGAAUAACACACCGAAAGGUGUACUAAUACCGCAUAAGACCACGGGAUCACAUGGUUCUGGGGUAAAAGAAUUAUCGGUUUGGGGUGGGCUCGCGUCCGAUUAGGUAGUUGGUGAGGUAAUGGCCCACCAAGCCGACGAUCGGUAGCCGACCUGAGAGGGUGAUCGGCCACAUUAGGACUGAGACACGGCCCAAACUCCUACGGGAGGCAGCAGUGGGGAAUAUUGGGCAAUGGAGGAAACUCUGACCCAGCAACGCCGCGUGGAGGAAGAAGGUUUUCGGAUCGUAAACUCCUGU